rnacentral:misc_RNA from 1 species
GAUGAAGAACGUAGCGAAAUGCGAUAAGUAAUGUGAAUUGCAGAAUUCAGUGAAUCAUCGAAUCUUUGAACGCACAUUGCGCCCGCUGGUAUUCCGGCGGGCAUGCCUGUUCGAGCGUCAUUUCAACCCUCAAGCUCUCCGGAGUUUGGUGUUGGGGCGCCUGGCUUUUCGACCUCAGGGCCCUCAAGUCCAUCGGCGGGACCGCCAGGACACUGAGCGCAGUAGUAUUAUUUCGCUCGGUAGGAUCUUCCACGGCGGGUCGAUCUGGCCGCUAAACCCCCCAAUUCUCACCAAAGGUUGACCUCGGAUCAGGUAGGAAUACCCGCUGAACUUAAGCAUAUCAAUAAGCGGAGGA